rnacentral:rRNA from 1 species
ACGCUAGCUACAGGCUUAACACAUGCAAGUCGAGGGGCAGCAUUUUAGUUUGCUUGCAAACUGAAGAUGGCGACCGGCGCACGGGUGAGUAACACGUAUCCAACCUGCCGAUAACUCCGGAAUAGCCUUUCGAAAGAAAGAUUAAUACCGGAUAGCAUACGAAUAUCGCAUGAUAUUUUUAUUAAAGAAUUUCGGUUAUCGAUGGGGACGCGUUCCAUUAGUUUGUUGGCGGGGUAACGGCCCACCAAGACAACGAUGGAUAGGGGUUCUGAGAGGAAGGUCCCCCACAUUGGAACUGAGACACGGUCCAAACUCCUACGGGAGGCAGCAGUGAGGAAUAUUGGUCAAUGGGCGAGAGCCUGAACCAGCCAAGUAGCGUGAAGGAUGAAGGCUCUAUGGGUCGUAAACUUCUUCUAUAUGGGAAUAAAGUUUUCCACGUGUGGAAUUUUGUAUGUACCAUAUGAAUAAGGAUCGGCUAACUCCGUGCCAGCAGCCGCGGUAAUACGGAGGAUCCGAGCGUUAUCCGGAUUUAUUGGGUUUAAAGGGAGCGUAGGUGGAUUGUUAAGUCAGUUGUGAAAGUUUGCGGCUCAACCGUAAAAUUGCAGUUGAAACUGGCAGUCUUGAGUACAGUAGAGGUGGGCGGGAAAUUCGUGGUGUAGCGGUGAAAUGCUUAGAUAUCACGAAGAACUCCGAUUGCGAAGGCAGCUCACUAGACUGUCACUGACACUGAUGCUCGAAAGUGUGGGUAUCAAACAGGAUUAGAUACCCUGGUAGUCCACACAGUAAACGAUGAAUACUCGCUGUUUGCGAUAUACAGUAAGCGGCCAAGCGAAAGCAUUAAGUAUUCCACCUGGGGAGUACGCCGGCAACGGUGAAACUCAAAGGAAUUGACGGGGGCCCGCACAAGCGGAGGAACAUGUGGUUUAAUUCGAUGAUACGCGAGGAACCUUACCCGGGCUUAAAUUGCAACAGAAUAUAUUGGAAACAGUAUAGCCGUAAGGCUGUUGUGAAGGUGCUGCAUGGUUGUCGCCAGCUCGUGCCGUGAGGUGUCGGCUUAAGUGCCAUAACGAGCGCAACCCUUAUCUUUAGUUACUAACAGGUGAUGCUGAGGACUCUAGAGAGACUGCCGUCGUAAGAUGUGAGGAAGGUGGGGAUGACGUCAAAUCAGCACGGCCCUUACGUCCGGGGCUACACACGUGUUACAAUGGGGGGUACAGAAGGCGGCUACCUGGUGACAGGAUGCUAAUCCCAAAAACCUCUCUCAGUUCGGAUCGAAGUCUGCAACCCGACUUCGUGAAGCUGGAUUCGCUAGUAAUCGCGCAUCAGCCAUGGCGCGGUGAAUACGUUCCCGGGCCUUGUACACACCGCCCGUCAAGCCAUGAAAGCCGGGGGUACCUGAAGUACGUAACCGCAAGGAGCGUCCUAGGGUAAAACUGGUAAUUGGGGC